UACGAAGGGGGCUAGCGUUGCUCGGAAUCACUGGGCGUAAAGGGUGCGUAGGCGGGUCUUUAAGUCAGGGGUGAAAUCCUGGAGCUCAACUCCAGAACUGCCUUUGAUACUGAGGAUCUUGAGUUCGGGAGAGGUGAGUGGAACUGCGAGUGUAGAGGUGAAAUUCGUAGAUAUUCGCAAGAACACCAGUGGCGAAGGCGGCUCACCUGGCCCGAUACUGACGCUGAGGCACGAAAGCGUGGGAGCAACAGGGAUUAAGAACA
rnacentral:rRNA from 1 species